rnacentral:lncRNA from 10 species
GUUACUUGAGCCUAGGAGUUUGAAUCCAGCCUGGGCAACAUAGUGAGACCCCCAUCUCUAAAUUUUUUUAAAAAUAGAAAAACAGGAUUCCCUAUUAAUAGUAAUCAUUAUGGUCUAGACAAAUUAUAACUGCCAUGUAUAUUAAAAUCCAAGGGUCUCUUCUCAAACUUACCAGGCACUGAUGAAUCCCCAAGGAAUGGUUGAUGGAGUCUUGCAACUGUGUUGCUUUUAACGACAACUU